rnacentral:rRNA from 1 species
UACGUAGGGGGCAAGCGUUGUCCGGAUUUAUUGGGCGUAAAGAGCGUGUAGGCGGCCAGGCAGGUCCGUUGUGAAAACUGGAGGCUUAACCUCCAGACGUCGACGGAAACCGCGUGGCUAGAGUCCGGAAGAGGAGAGUGGAAUUCCUGGUGUAGCGGUGAAAUGCGCAGAUAUCAGGAAGAACACCAAUGGCGAAGGCAGCUCUCUGGGACGGUACUGACGCUGAGACGCGAAAGCGUGGGGAGCGAACAGG